AAUAUUUCACUCCACUAUAGUCCUGUUUCCAUGGUUUCUGGGGAUAAAACUAAUGUAAUUAUCUUUGCUUCUUUAUAGAUAAAGUGAUUUUUUUCUUCUGGCUUUUUUGAGAUUUUUUUUAUGACUGAUUUUCUGGGUUUGGAAUAGGAUAUGCCUAGUUGUAGUUUUUGUUUGUUCGUUGGUUUGUUUUUCCAUUUAUCCUGCUUGGUGUUCUCUGAGCUUCCUGGAUCUGUCAUUUUAUGUCUGACAUUAACUUGGGGAAAUUCUCCAUCAUUAUUGCUUCAAAUAUUGCUUCUAUUCCUUUCUUUCUUCUAUAUCUGGUAUUCCCAUUACAUACGUUAUACUUUUUGUAAUUAUCCCACAGUUCUUGGAUAUUCUAUUCUUUUUUUUUCCCAGUCAUUUAUCUCUUGGCUUUUCAGUUUUGGAAGUUUCUAUUGUUAUAUCCUCAUGUUCAGAGAUUCUUUCCUCUGCUGUGUCUAGUCUACUAAUUAACCUAUCAAAGGCAGUCUUCAUUUCUGUUACAGUGUUUUUUUAAUUCUAGCAUUUCUUCUUGAUUCUUCUUAAAAUUUCCAUCUCUCUGCUUACAUUAACCAUCUAUUCUUUCAUGUUGUCUACUUUUUCCAGAAAUGCCCUUGUCAUAGUUUUUUCUUUUUUAAUUCCUGACCUGAUAAUUCCAAUAUUUCUGCCAUAUCUGACUCUGGUACUUAUGUUUGUUUAGUCUCCUCAAACUGUGUAUUCUGCCUUCUAGUAUGCCUUGCCAUUUUUUGUUGGAAGGUAGACAUAAUGUCCUGGGUAAAAGGAACUGUGAUAAAUAGGCCUUUAGUAAUAUGGUGGUGAGAUGCAGGGGAAGGGGAAGUGUUCUAUAGUCCUGUGAUGAGGCUUCAGUCUUGUGGUGAGCCUGUGUCCCUAGACUGUGAACUUCACCAGUGAUUUGCUAUACCCUAUUCCCCCACCUUAGGUAGGAUAGGAUGGCUAGAGGGAGCUAGAGUUGGGUAUUUCCCUUUCCCCAAGUCAGUUGGGCUCUGAUAAAACUCCAGCAGGUCAGGCUCUGAUAGAAUAGUUUCACCUGAGGGCAAGCCUUGUUAAGAAGAACAGAAUGCUCUGGCAUAUUUCAAAAUGGUUCCUUUCAUCUUGCACCUGCUGGAAGCAUGAGGAGAUUUUUCUCUGAUAUAUACUGUGAGGACCCGGUCAAGCUCCUGAAGGUAAAACUCACAAAAGCAUGGAGUCCCUCUCUAUGACUAGAGUUUUUGACUCUCAGACUUGUCCAUACUGAGCCUCCAGCAAUUCAUCCGUUGCAGUUCAGGUUUUCCUACCUUGGCACUGGUUCUGGUGGAGGUUUCUGCUCCAGUAAGUUGUAAUUCUCUGUAUCCACUUGUCUCUCCAUAUUUUGCGGCAGUGGUUUACCUGGUGAACCCACUUGUCUGACGAAACUAAGAAGAGGUGUUGAUUUUUCAGUUUAUUUAGCUUUUCACUUAUUUUUAAGACGGAGUGGUGACUUCUGAGCUCCUAACAUGCCAAAUGGGAAGCUGGAAGUCUAGAAGUCUCUUUUUCAAGGUGAAUCUGAUGAUUGGAUGGCUUUAGAGCUAAUUGGCUUUUAAACUUUAAAAAUGUAAUGCCAUCUUAUUGCAAAGAAAAUCUAUGAAUUUAUAAAAAAAUAUAUAAAAUUGGUAAAAGUGGGGCUGUUCUGGUUGAAGUGUGUGUGUUGGUGAGGCAGGGAUCCAGAGCUUUAUCUUCUCAAACUCUCCCCUGGUGCAGCCCCAAACUGCCUCUGCAGAGUCCCUCAUUCGCUAAUCAUACUGCUCUCUCCAGCAUGGGGUAAGCCAAUGAUCUUUGGAAGUUCUUGGAGGUGGGGAUGCGUGUGUAUCUGGGUGGCCAAUCAGGACAAGGAGGGACAGCACUCAAAGGGGCACUGACUUCAGAUAUUUGCCCUGUAAUUGCCGCUGGCAAGUGAAGGGGGCAGGAGGGUGAUGAAAUUGGAAUCAAAGUUAGAAAUCUGUUUGCUGCGCAAAAAGGCCAUUUUGCAACUUGCCUCCUUUAAACUAUCCUGCUGGUGCAGGGUGUUAUUUAAGCCUUAGGGGAUGUUUUAAAGGUGGAGGAUUGCCCUGGUGAUGAACAAAUACGAGAAAUAAACUUCCAGUGGGGCUGGGUUGCCUGCUGACUGUGGUUUCCUGAUGAUCUAUAACAAUGGUUAUUCACUAACAGCUGGCGCAUGUCUCCCUCGGACAAAGCCACUGGGAAGUGCAGGCACUCGGAUUGGUGAACCAGAACCGUUACCCUGAUUAGUCCUGAGCUAACAUCCACCACCAAUCCUCCCCUUUUUUGCUGAGGAAGAUUGGCCUUGAGCUAACAUCUGUGCCCAUCUUACUCUGUUUAUGUAUGGGAUGCCUGCCAUAGCAUGGCUUGAUAAGCUGUGUGUAGGUCCAUGGCUGGGAUCUGAACUGACAAACUCCAGGAGGCUGAAGCAGAGCGUGUGAACCUAACCACUACACCACUGCACUGGCCCCUUAAAUGAUAAAUUUUGACUGUGAAGAGGAAAACAUGGAUUCAUUCAAACUCACCCCUCUCAUUUCUCUUAGUGCAGGGUGUUUGGGAUUCUGUGACCCUAAUUAUGUGAAUAUA
ensembl:lncRNA